rnacentral:rRNA from 1 species
CACGUAGGGUGCGAGCGUUUGUCCGGAAUUAUUGGGCGUAAAGAGCUCGUAGGCGGUGUGUCGCGUCGGCCGUGAAAACCUGCAGCUUAACUGUGGGCUUGCGGUCGAUACGGGCAUCACUGGAGUUCGGCAGGGGAGACUGGAAUUCCUGGUGUAGCGGUGAAAUGCGUAGAUAUCGGGAGGAACACCAGUGGCGAAGGCGACUACCUGGCCUGUUCUUGACGCUGAGGCGCGAAAGCUAGG